GUGCCAGCAGCCGCGGUAAGACAGGGGUCUCAAGCGUUAAUCGGAAUCACUGGGCUUAAAGGGUGCGUAGGCGGGCCUGUAAGUGUCCUGUGAAAUCCCCCGGCUCAACCGGGGAACUGCGGGGCAUACUGCGGGUCUUGAGGAAGGUAGGCGCCGAGGGAACAGUAGGUGGAGCGGUGAAAUGCGUAGAUAUCUACUGGAACGCCGAUGGUGAAGACGCUCGGCUGGGCCUUUCCUGACGCUGAGGCACGAAAGCGUGGGGAGCAAACAGGAUUAGAUACCCCCGUAGUCC
rnacentral:rRNA from 1 species